CCUCACACUGCGUCUCUCACCCCGCCUGAUCUUCAGACGGAACUCAGAAGAGUCGGUUUCUGGAACAAACCCGUUACUGUCGCCCCCACUGUGGCGAGAGCACAUCCUCACGGUGUCCUCUGCACUCGGCAGUUGGCUGUUAGUUCUCCAACACGGUCUGUCAGAAAUGUGUUGUGUCUGUUUUUGAGCACAUCCAUAUAUCUGACCGCUCUGCGCUCCUCUCCUCCAGCACCCCGGCUGUGUGAGAGCAGCGAGUACUGAUCCUCUAAAACAGCGUUUCAUCUCAUUUCUACCGAUGGUCGGUUUGAAUCAGACGCGCGUGUCCCGUUUUCAACGGACACCUGAGGUGAACGCUAGCGGUGUUAGCCGUUAGCCGCUGUGGAACCGGUGCGGCUUAUCUCACCGGCUUUCGGGACUCCACAUAAACCGAUACUUAUCUGGCGAGCGGGAAAAAAGUUGUGAGAAAAAGGAAAAAAUCGUAAUUCGAGCGACUGUUUUCCUGCUAAGUUCGGCUACGUGUGGCUACGACGUCGUUUAUCUCCCGUAGGCUGUAAAGUGCACGUUAAAACGUAGCCUGGGCUAAUUAAGAGCUCGACCUGAGCUCAGCAUCUCUGUGUCCUGCACACCGAGCAGUGGGUUUAACAGGCUGCUGUAUAGCCUAGCACGAAUAACUCGAGAAAACUCGUCGACACAGCCACGCCAGUAAGGAGUCGUCAGGACUUUAGCAACUUCAGCUUAAUUUUAAUACCUUUGACCUGUUUUUUUAUGUCAGGUAACAGCAAGUGGACUUGACCAGCACCCAAGACUUACGAUCCUUUGCAGUCGAUGAUUGCCUGAAGUCUGCGUCUCACAGCUAUCACUCAACGCAGGGUGUCUUCCCUGACGAUGCUCUACCAGGAAUAUAAUACAGCCAUUUUCCGCUCCUGCUUUUUGCCUUCACUUAUCCUCAUUAAGUGAAAUGUAAGGGUUGAUUGACUUCGCCAGUCAAGAACAUUCCACUUGUUCCAGUUAUUGUUCUGAUGCAAGUGUAUUUGACAUUCAUCUACGUGAUACGCCUACAAGGUGGGGGAGACCAUGUGAUUGGCAUGAAGACGCAACAAGGAGAGUUGGGAUUCUCUGAUGAGACAGCACAGGUCAGAUGGUGACCAUGUACAACAGAGGGAGGUUUCUGUGAAGCUUGUAUUAAAAGUGAGAUCAUAAAUCAGCAGCACAGUAGAUUAGAGCAGAGCACUGUCAGCCACGCUGAAGGCUUUCCAUAGUUUUUCCAAUGGAGGGCAGAAGAGGAAAAGGAAGGAGUCUGAAUCCUGAUGACAGCGAAGAAGGCAAGUUCUGAGUGUGUCUGUUGAUAGCAGAAGGAAAGAGGCUGCUCUCUCUCUCUCUCUCUCUCCCUCUCUCUCUCUCUCUAUCUCUCUCCCUUUCUCAGUGCACACUGCCUUCUUUAAUCAUACAUUUACACGAGAGCCACAGUUCGCAAAGCCAUGUAGUCCACUUUUUAUUACCAGGCAGGUCACUGAGUGCUGUUGCUCCCACAGGGCACCUUAAAUUAAGUCUCUGAGAUGCGUUCACAUCAAAUGGUUCAUCUGGAAAGGAACAAAAUGGGGGGAAAAGGAAUAAAUUAAUAAUGAGCCACUUUUAUACCGGAUCCAGCGAUUAUACAAAUGGUGGAAACAGCCAAAAAUAUUCUGUUAUGGCAUAUGGCACUUCAGCUGCCAUAUGUGCCAGUUUUCACAAAAAUUGGCACUGCGGCACACGAUGGUCAGUUGUAACUGCCAAAAACACAGCGAGGGCUGUGCAGAGAGAGAGAGAAAAAAACGCUUCAGUGCCUCAGACGAGUGCACUGAUGUCCUUAUGCAGUUCCCACUGCAUAAUCAAGAGCGAGUUAUCAAAUGCUGGAGUGAAGAUUUCGGCGAGAUGAAAAGGCUUUUUUUUUCUUCCUUUUUUUGGGAGCUCAUGCUUCGCUCAUCCCCCUUUUCUCUUGCCUAGUUGCCAUUGCAUCCACCUGGGGCCAGGCGACAGGCCUCGCUUUCAUUCCACCUCUCUGUGAAGUGGAGGAGAAACUUGAUGCAGACUUACAGAGGCAAAAAUUGGUUUGGCAUCCCAAGUAUCAAUAUUAUCAUCAUAAUUUCAAUCAAGUCAUCUUGCUACUCUUUGCUCUUGGGCUCUUUUGUGUCUAGUGAAGAUGAUGCCUUCAUAUGCUUUUGACUUUGCACGUUGUAAUUACGUUUUAGUUGUUGCAAUCAAGGUUUUUAUUCCAGGAAAGAACCUAUGGUCAGAGUCCAGAUGCCCUGUGUUAGUUUUCCUGUAAAAUGAGGUCAUCUUUGGUAUAGUGCUUUUUUAGCCCUCACAUCUUACCUAGGCUUUGGAGACUGCUUCUUGUCUACUGAUUUUCCCAACAAAAAUCAGCUCAUGGACUCCCUCUCCACUCAAAACUAUGGGCUCAGUGGUCCAGGCUUUAGAUCCUCACUCCCAGCCAAGCUGCCAGACUAGCUCAGGGUUCACAGCUGAGCUGAGCCACCAUGGCAAGACUUAAUGUUCCAGGUUUCGGGCAGCCCCAGGGCAUAUGUUCGCCCCCCAUCACUUAGAGGAGAGCUCACGUCUGGCACUGGUGAGUCAGGCCAGGCCCCAGCGGCCCAUCCGAGUCCCAGUGAAGCAGGCCCCUCUACACACCACUCCACCCAGCAACAGGGUCAGUCAGUGAGUGACAGGUUGCAGGCAAUUUAUUGGGGAUUAUGGGACCACAAGAUCUGCCACCUUUGUUAUGCUUUGUCAGUGUGUGGCUUUAUGUUGCUGCCGGUGCUGUUCUGUAGCAACAUAACCCUUAGACGCCACAGUUACCGCUGGCAGUAACAAAAGCAUGGUGUUAUUUUUUAUUCAUUAUUUCUCGCUGUAACUCAGUGAAACAAGCAGUGGAAAGUGCUGAAUUUUCAGUGAAUAGCCUAUUUUGUUUUGUAAGUAGAGGAUAAAAUAUUUGAUUAUGAUUUCAUAAAAAGUUGCUUUAUGUUUUAGAGAAAGAGAAAACAUCCUUUAAGUUUCAGCCAUGUAUUUACAGUUUGUAAAGCAAAAAUGAAUUGAAUUUGUUAUGUAAUUAACAAUGUAGUGUAUGGCAAAAUGAUAAUAAUAACUGGACUUGGGAGAAAGACACUUAUUGCUGUCUAUGCAGUGUUUAUAAACUGAUAUAAUGUUGAUUGUUAAAUGAUUUGCAUUUUUAGGCUUGUUAAACAUAUUGUAUUUUGUAGGUAAUGUAUUUUAGCAUCAACUUUUGAUAUUAGAAAUUCCACAUGCUAGGAGCUACAAAACAUAAUCUCAUUAAAAAAAUAAAAAUUC